CCCCGUGUACGCCAAUUGGCAGAGCGGGCCGCCUCAAGAGCGGUAAGGUGGUCGUUCGAAUCGACCCACGGGGA
rnacentral:tRNA from 1 species